ACAGGCGCGCCUCCGCGUCGCUGCCUCCAGGGACUCUCCCGGGAGAGACCCGCGCGCUCCCGGGUUCGGGGAAGUCGCGAUGCUCCGCAACUGUUCUUCCCCAGGCCGCGCCGGCGCCUACCUGCGAUCCAUCCCCAGCGGAAGCCGACUCGGGAGAGAUCAAGGGAAGAACUCCGGCCGUUCCCCGCGGGAUGGGAGAGGCUAUUGCAGUGGCAGCAGGAGAUCAGAGACCUUGUCACUAAGGAGGUGGGGGAGGGGGAAGAAUUUCCAACCUCUGAAGUGGAGUUUAAGAACUUCCACUGCCCCAGCAAGCAGAGGCAACAGAAAAUCCAGGACUGCGUUGAUUCAAGCCUAUUUGGUUUAUACGCUCUUGUCUACAUCCGCAAUCAGUUAUGAUAUGGUUACUCCAGAAAAGUCCGCUUGGCCCAGCAUCACAUAUAUGACCUUUUCAUGGCUGAGAGGAUUUUUGGUCUGGGCUAUCUGAAAGAAUUCCUCGAUUUUUCACUCCUUUCCAUGUGUAAACCCUGUGGAGACGUCACCAAUUGUCCUUGGGGUCAUUGCUACUUCCAGAAAGGACCGGGGGACAAUUACAGUAUUACUACCCACAGCUUACAAAUAAUUACAGGUAUCCAGACCAAGUCGGAAAUAAUUUAUUCCUGCAGAGGCCAAG
rnacentral:lncRNA from 1 species